rnacentral:rRNA from 1 species
AGAGUUUGAUUAUGGCUCAGAACGAACGCUGGCGGCAGGCUUAACACAUGCAAGUCGAACGCACCGCAAGGUGAGUGGCAGACGGGUGAGUAACGCGUGGGAACCUUCCCUUUGGUACGGAAUAACUUCGGGAAACCGAAGCUAAUACCGUAUAUCUCCUCCGGGAGAAAGAUUUUAUCGCCAAAGGAUGGGCCCCGCGUUGGAUUAGCUAGUUGGUAGGGUAAUGGCCUACCAAGGCGACGAUCCAUAGCUGGUCUGAGAGGAUGAUCAGCCACACUGGGACUGAGACACGGCCCAGACUCCUACGGGAGGCAGCAGUGGGGAAUAUUGGACAAUGGGCGCAAGCCUGAAUCCAGCCAUGCCGCGUGAGUGAAGAAGGCCUUAGGGUUGUAAAGCUCUUUUGGCGGGGACGAUAAUGACGGUACCCGCAGAAUAAGCCCCGGCUAACUUCGUGCCAGCCGCAGC